AGCUUGACGUUCCUGAAGCACUUUUGCUAUAACAAUCCUGCCGGCACACGACCAGCGAACGGUAGAAAGGACGUUCGAACGUGCCCCCUGAUUCUGUCUCACGUGUUCCCGGUUACACGGGGGUUCACGAGCUCGCUCUACCAACUUUUUGAAGAAAUAUUUUGAUAGCGACAUUCCAACGGAACGGGUUGCCUCUAGUCUCAUACCUUUUGUGCAAUCCGUUGCACUUUUCUGAGGAGGGGCCCAUAGGCUCCCCAGACUGCCAAAGACUCCAGGAAACAACAACGUUUACUCCGGGGGGCUGCCGGGUCGCUCAGCGGGUAGAGCGCCCCGCCGUGAGGUGGGAGGAGCUGGUUUCAAAUCAGGCCUCGGACAUGACCUAACUGUGUGGCCCCGGACCAGUUAUUUCACCUCACUUACCUGGCCCUCUCUCUUCUGUCUUAGAGUUGUUAUUAGGAAAGAAAGUGAGGCGUUCAAAAACCCGACGCCCCCUCUAGAAAGAAUGGGGAGAGCGCCAGGCCUGGAGUUGAGAGGGCUCCUCUUCCUGAGCUCACCUCUAGCCUGGGGCACUCAAGCUGUGGGGCCCUGGGCAAGUCACUUGGCCCUGCUUGCCUCCGUUUGCUCAUCUGUAAAAUGAGCAGGAGGAGGAAGUGACAAACCACUUCAGGACUUGGUCAAAAUGUUUUCCUGGCCAAGAGGCUAGGGUGGUUUCAACAAGGAUCAGACCCCUAAGAGGUCUUCCCCGAAAGAGAAGGAACACAAAAACCGCUUCGAUCUCGAGGGCAUCCAUUACUUCAUGUCCUUCUUCAGCAAGUUGCUGAUAAAGUCCUUGGCGUCGUCCGAGAUCUCGUCAAAUGCUUCAUCAUCGAAGUCCCAGGUGGCUGAGGUAACAUUAGCUAGCGUUUCGUUGUCAUUGUCGCCCAUGAAGGGGGAAAGGCCGCUGACCCUGGGGAGAGGGAGAUGGAGAGAGCACCGGUGAGCCGCUAGGGGAGCAGAGGUGAAAGCGGGCCGGCCAGGGCCCGGCCACCAGAGGCGUGGAACGGUCAAGGUUGGGCCAAGUUACGCUGAAUAACCCCCGUUAGGUAAAUAAGGUAGGGGGCUGGGCCAGGGGCCACGAUCACGGGACACAGUUUAGCAGAAAGAUAUUUUCUUUUUUUUUUUUAACCCUCACCUUCCAUCUUAGAAUCAAUACUGUGUAUUGGCUCCAAGGCAGAAGAGUGGUCAGGGCUAGGCCAUGGGGGUCAAGUGACUUGCCCAGGGUCACACAGCUGGGAAGUGUCUGAGGCCAGAUUUGAACCCAGAAUCUCCCAUCUCUAGGCCUGGCUCUCCAUCCCCUGAGCCAACCAGCUGCUCCCUAGAAAGAUAUUUUCUUGAACUCUCUAGUGUAAAGAUUAAAAUUUAGGAAUAGACUGAGGCAUGUAGAAAUUAGUUUCUCUCUGCAAGGAGUAUUAUAUUUUUUAGAGGUUUAUUAAAGGUUAAAGAUUAAAGAAUAUACAAGUAAGAAACAUGUGCCUAGGCCAGAGGCCUAGACAAAAUAACCUCACAUCACGCAAGAGACACGCCUGCUCCAAAACGGAAGUCCAAAAAGAGCCAAGAGCCCUCAAAAGUCUUUGAAUCAGCUUAAAUACCUUCUCGAUCUCGGCCCAGGUGAGAUUACAAGGCAUUCUGGGGAAGUGGAGCAAAGGCUCGUGGGGAUUGUAGUCCUGUAUUCGAGUCUAUUUUUUGCAUUAAUAUAAAAAAAUAUUAUCCUUUAAAUUGCAAAGUUUAAAUUCCUUUUGAGAAGAAUUUUAGGUAAAGAAGAUGCUACUUCCCUGAAUUCAGAAACUGAACUGUUGGAGAAGCCAUCAUGAAGAAGCCUCCAGACCACAAACUGCACAAAAUGAACUUUGGGUGUGGUUAAUGAACAUUUAUUUGCAUGCAUACUUUCAUGCCAAAGGGGACUGCCCCCUAACUGGCUUUCUGUCAAUGCGUCCAGUAAUUAUUGGUUUUAUUCUUUUCUUUCUCUUAUCCUCAAA